AUAUGUCAUCUCUGGGUAAUUUAUUACUUUAUUUUGGCAUAGUUCCCUUACUAUUAACUCUUGUUUGUUCCUUUCCAGUCUUGCCCGCUGUAAUCUUGACUUUAAGGAGAUCUUCAUGGGGACUUGCAAUAUCACAAAAGGAAUUUCGACGACCUUCUCUGGGAUUUGAGGCAACAAACCUUUACGCAACUUAUUUAUCUAUCAUAGAGAAAAUCAUUCAAAAUUUUCCGAGUAUUUGCAAUGGGGUUGUGAUUGAGAAGGCUACGGUCCAACGAUGUAAUAGUUUGGUGUGGCGGAAAAGCGGUUCAGAGUUUCUUGGAG